UACGUAGGUGGCAAGCGUUGUCCGGAAUUAUUGGGCGUAAAGCGCGCGCAGGCGGUCCUUUAAGUCUGAUGUGAAAGCCCACGGCUCAACCGUGGAGGGUCAUUGGAAACUGGGGGACUUGAGUGCAGAAGAGGAAAGCGGAAUUCCACGUGUAGCGGUGAAAUGCGUAGAGAUCAUGAGGAAGACCAGUGGCGAAGGCGGGUCUCUGGACAGUUCCUGACACUGAGACACGAAGGCCAGGGGAGCAAACGGG
rnacentral:rRNA from 1 species